UCUCCGUUGGUGAACCAGCGGAGGGAUCAUUACAGAGUUGCAAAACUCCCAAACCAUUGUGAACGUUACCUCUCCCGUUGCGUCGGCGGGCGGCCCGGGCCCCGCGCCCGGCGCCCCCCGGCCCCCCGUGGGCGCCGGCCGGAGGUAAACCAAACCCUUGAAUUGAAUGGCCUCUCUGAGUCUUCUGUACUGAAUAAGUCAAAACUUUCAACAACGGAUCUCUUGGUUCUG
rnacentral:misc_RNA from 1 species